rnacentral:lncRNA from 1 species
UUAUUUCUUCCUGAUAUACUGAUAACGUAGGCCACCCAAACGGGCCCAUCCGUUCAGCCCUUCUCUUACCUGGCUCAGUUCGUUAUACCAAACCGCCCUUUCUCUUACAUUUACAUAGCUCAGCUGGGCUGUUCGUCUGGCUGUUUUUUUGGUUGAUGAUGCUGAUUUACUGUGAGAGGAAAAUAUUGUUUCAUGGUUAGCUAAUUUGGCUGAUAAACUAUCAAUCCACAGGUGCUCAGAUAGAGGAAGCAGAAUUGGGAAAGUUCAAAUUCUUUUGCUCACGGUGAACUCACCAGUGCCACGCAAACAAUCACACCAUAGCUGGCUUCUUACAUUUACAUAGCUCAGCUGGGCUGUUCGUCUGGCUGUUUUUUUGGUUGAUGA